rnacentral:rRNA from 1 species
GUCGUGACUGCGUGCCUUUUGAAGAAUGAGCCUGCGAGUUUGCGGUAUGUUGCGAGGUUAACCCGUGUGGGGAAGCCGUAGCGAAAGCGAGUCCGAAGAGGGCGAUAUAGUAGCGUGCCCAAGACCCGAAGCGGAGUGAUCUAGCCAUGGGCAGGUUGAAGCGGAGGUAAGACUUCGUGGAGGACCGAACCCACCAGGGUUGAAAACCUGGGGGAUGACCUGUGGUUAGGGGUGAAAGGCCAAUCAAACUCCGUGAUAGCUGGUUCUCCCCGAAAUGCAUUUAGGUGCAGCGUCGUGUGUUUCUUGCCGGAGGUAGAGCACUGGAUAGGCGAUGGGCCCUACCGGGUUACUGACCUUAGCCAAACUCCGAAUGCCGGUAAGUGAGAGCGCGGCAGUGAGACUGUGGGGGAUAAGCUCCAUGGUCGAGAGGGAAACAGCCCAGAGCAUCGACUAAGGCCCCUAAGCGUGUGCUAAGUGGGAAAGGAUGUGGAGUCGCAGAGACAACCAGGAGGUUGGCUUAGAAGCAGCCAUCCUUGAAAGAGUGCGUAAUAGCUCACUGGUCAAGUGAUUCCGCGCCGACAAUGUAGCGGGGCUCAAGCACACCGCCGAAGUCAUGUCAUUGCAGUAUGUACUCCUAACGGGGACUGUGAUGGGUAGGGGAGCGUCGUGUGCCGGGUGAAGCAGCGCCGGAAGGUAGUUGUGGACGGUUCACGAGUGAGAAUGCAGGCAUGAGUAGCGAUACACACGUGGGAAACGUGUGCGCCGAUUGACUAAGGGUUCCUGGGUCAAGCUGAUCUGCCCAGGGUAAGUCGGGACCUAAGGCGAGGCCGACAGGCGUAGUCGAUGGACAACCGGUUGAUAUUCCGGUACCCGCUUUGAAGCGCCAAACAUCGAAUCCUCUGAUGCUAAGGCCGUGAAGCCGCCCUGGAGUCUUCGGACAAAGGGGAGUGGUGGAGCCGCUGAUCCAAGGUGGUAGUAGGUGAGUGAUGGGGUGACGCAGGAAGGUAGUCCAGCCCGGGCGGUGGUUGUCCCGGGGUAAGGGUGUAGGACGCACGGUAGGCAAAUCCGUCGUGCAUGAAGUCUGAGACCUGAUGCCGAGCCGAUUGUGGUGAAGUGGAUGAUCCUAUGCUGUCGAGAAAAGCCUCUAGCGAGUUUCAUGGCGGCCCGUACCCUAAACCGACUCAGGUGGUCAGGUAGAGAAUACCGAGGCGUUCGGGUGAACUAUGGUUAAGGAACUCGGCAAAAUGCCCCCGUAACUUCGGGAGAAGGGGGGCCACGGCUGGUGAU